rnacentral:rRNA from 1 species
UACAGAGGUCUCGAGCGUUAGGCGGAAUCACUGGGCUUAAAGCGUGUGUAGGCGGACUGGUAAGUCCCUUGUGAAAUCCCACGGCUCAACCGUGGAACUGCUUGGUAUACUGCUUGUCUUGUGCAACCUAGGGGCGAGCGGAACAGAUGGUGGAGCGGUGAAAUGCGUAGAUAUCAUCUGGAACGCCAAUGGUGAAAACAGCUCGCUGGGGGUUUGCAGACGCUGAGACACGAAAGCCAGGGGAGCGAACGGG